CCUGCUGCAGUGGACCCAAAAGGCCUCAGGACAAAGUGGCCGUGUCUGACAUGAAAAAGGACUUUGAGAGCUGUCUUGGUGCUAAGGACUGCUAGCCAAGAAGGCAGUGGACGCCGGCCUGAACGUGAAGCCUUACAUCAAAACCAGCCUGUCCCCUGGAAGUGGGGUGGUCACCUACUACCUGAGAGAAAGCGGAGUCAUGCCUUACUUGUCUCAGCUUGGGUUUGACGUGGUGGGCUAUGGCUGCAUGACCUGCAUUGGCAACAGUGGGCCUUUGCCUGAGCCUGUAGUAAAAGCCAUCACAU